CUUAAAUUAAAUAAAAUAAUAGUUAUAAAAACCGGGAAGUAAUAAUUUGAAGACUGUUAUCCUUUGGGGGAAGGGAGUGGGUUCAUAUUUUGCAACACCCAAGGGAUGGAGCUAAAUGGACUCCUGCUUAGGCUGUCUCCGUGAGUAUUGUCAUCUAUUAUCCUUCAGUUGCAUUAUUGCUGUACACUUGCGUAUGCUGGAGUAGAACUCUGAGGUCUAUGGAGGAUCCCAAGAAGACCACAAUGUUCUAUAGCCAAAAGUUGCAGUGUGUGCUUGGAAGUCUUUUCCAACAGCCAUUCUUAUUAACAGGAGAAACUCCACAAUCUAUUAACCCAGGGUUUCCCAUGACUUUACAUGUUAUGCCCUGGUUAUGCCCAAGCAUACUAUUUAAACGAACAAUAUAGCGUUUGGAUUACAAAUGUGGUGGGGGAGGGGGGGCAUCCUGACCACUUUAUUGAGAUUAAGUGGUCUGGGAGCCUAUAGAGUCCCUGCAAGCAAUAAUUGUGCACAAAUUUGACAUGUGACAGUUCCACUUUGACAAACAAUAUAAUCACAUCUUCAAUCACUGUGGAGUUUGGUCUGCAGAAUCUAUUUUUGUUGCAUGCGUUCCCUACGCGCAAGCAGUAUGUUAAAUGCUGGCUGUAAAAUGACCCAGAAAACUAGGGAGUUUGUGCUAAAUUCAAAAGUAAAUUGUGGAUUUAAGGCAUCGAUAGUUCUCCGCCUCAGUUUGUAGCUUUGCUAAUUUAUUCAGAAUUUUUCAAUCUGGAUUACAAUUUGUAUUCGGUAUUUUGUGAAAAUUCCAUCCAGGUUAAAGAUAGAAAUGUCUGUGUAAGAACAAAAUCACCAAAACUCGAACUGUCGUUGAACAUAUUUUAUGUAUUAUGUAGCAGCCAAUCAGCAUCGAGAGAGCCCUCAUUGUCAGUUUGUCUUUUAAAACUGUAUUUAAAGGGGCACUAUAGGCACCCAGACCACUUCAUCUCAUUGAAGUGGUCUGGGUGCUUUGAACCUCUCCCCUUAGUCCUGCAAUGUAAAACUUAGCAGUUUCAGAGAAGCAGCAAUGUUUAUAUUUCCAGCUUAAGACUAAUUCUGGAGUCUGUCUCUCCGGACGCUGGACUUCUUCACGCGUGUUCUAGAUCCCUAUCGAAAAGCAUUGAGUCCAUGCUUUCCUAUGGGGAAAGCUUAAUGCGCACACAAGGCGGUCGCCGCUUAUGCGCAUUAAUUUCCCGAUCAGCGGAUGUUGGAGGAAGAGGAACCGUCCCAGCACAGAGUAAUGUGGGAGCUAGAAUCAGGGAAAUGUUUAAAAGCUUAUUUAACCCUUUCAUGGAAGGGACGUGGGACGAAGCCCAGACGCACAAGGACAAUUUUGUAUUCCUAGCACUAUAGUGUUCCUUUAGUCCCCCAUUUUGAUCCGGCAUGAAAGUACUUUGUUUGUUUGUUUAGUUUUUUUCCCAAUCCACUUUCAGUAAACUGAAAAGAAUGCAUCUUUGUGGAUAGAGCCCUGGGAGAGGUUUGUAAAUGUCCUAUUCACACCUUUCCCCCUGGAGUAGGCUUUCUGGGUAGCCAAUGCCACUGGGCAGUUUCCAAACACGUAUAACUAAAUGGGGACCUGGAUUUAAGUCAAUCAGUAUCGAAUUUCCUGUAUUAAAAAUAAAGAUUUUUACCACUGU
rnacentral:lncRNA from 1 species